CACGCGGCGCGUAGUAUGGGUUUCCUGGUAGCUGGGGCUUGGGAGGUGGCUGUGGCCUGCUAUCUAGCGUGUCCGCGGUAGACUUUGGCCUACGUCCCCUUCCCGGGAAAUCGGGGGAUGGCCCUAACUCGGUGGCCGCGUGAGGAGCACGGCCCGCCGGACCCCGCGUGAAGUGGGUCGGUGUGGAAGCCGAGCUCCGUUUGCGACGUAGAUCUCCGCCGCAUGCCCAGGCGCACAACUGGGCGGAAAUGGCGCGGACAUCCAAGUCACAAGGUAGGUGUCUGAAGCUGACGGAUAACUUCCAGAACGACACGCGGGAGCACAGAGUGGCUUAAGGUAGGAUGACUACAGAGCACCAGGUGUGGGAUUUCCUUUUAAGUUGGAAUGCCGAAUCAUUAGUCUUCUUCUCUUGUACUGCCGCUGCAGUUACAAUCUGGAGUUAAUGCGGACGGUAACUCAGAAAUGACAGCCUUUACCUAUAAGUCAAAAAUAGGAUAGUUUUACCAACACUAAAGGCUUUGAGUGGAGAUAGGUUACCAGAUAAGUUUUUUGAGACAGGCACUAAAAGCGUUUUUAUCUUUCCUUUUAGGAUGUCCUCGAUGAUUUGGAAAUUGGAUCUUAAGAGGCAUGGGUGACUUAAAGUGUGUCAAAACUCCACAGAUGGACGUACACUUGUAACAAGGCUGUGAAUAAAUACGUUGAUAUGCCGUUCUGAGACUCGUAUGUUGUGUGAUUGGCAGCCACCUUAACUGAGUUCAUAGGUGACAGCUGAGCUGAUGGCUAGAUUUCAGCUUAGAUUGACAUAGUCCCCUUUUGGCUUAACAGGAAGGGACAGCUAGUACUUCCGUGGGGAUUCGUGGUCAUGCAUUUUACUUAAAAACUGUCCUCAGAGUUAGAGUAUCACAAGUGGAAGGCUUCCUGUGUGAGAUGAAUCCAAGAUCAGGGCAACAUGAGAGGCGGUUGGUGGGGGUGGGUGCCACUGCAGAGCAAAGUUGGAAAGUGAGCCAAUGGGGAAGCCGGGAGGGCUGGAAGAGUUGAAGCAGUAAAGAGACCAGACCGCUAAGGCUUAGGUUUUAUUAAAGCAAGAUGGGGAGCAAAGCAGUUCCACGCAGGUGGGCCGAAGAAGGUACCACAGUGAGGUAAGCUGCAAAGGAUGUGGGGUGUAGAGGCAGCCUAGAAUUAAAGCAGUGUAUGAAGGCAUUGAGACAGGACACUGCGUGGGAAGGAAUAUUUAGAUUUGGUUUUAGUUUUGGGGGCAGGGGGACAAAGGUCACAGUUGAACCUCAGGAGUUGAGGGUAGAGUUUGGCAAGCACUGUGUCACUGAGCAGUCGACCCCCAGUUGAAUCACUAGGUAGUAAUAAAACUGGCUACAAGAUCAACAUAGCUCUUGAGCCCAGCAGAGGCUUAAAUAAUAAGAAUGGAGAAUUUCAAGGAAGCUAGAGAUUGCUACAGGAAAGGAUGAGUCACACACAGCCACUGGCAAGAUACAGAAGGUUCUUUCUGAGUACUGUUGUCUGAAAAGCCAUCACACAGAGGUAAAGAUCCAAAACUUGGAAACAUGGGUGGACAGGUGUGUAGG
ensembl:lncRNA LOC120098269 uncharacterized LOC120098269